GCGGCAUGCCUUACACAUGCAAGUCGAACGGCAGCACGGGGGCAACCCUGGUGGCGAGUGGCGAACGGGUGAGUAAUACAUCGGAACGUGUCCUGUAGUGGGGGAUAGCCCGGCGAAAGCCGGAUUAAUACCGCAUACGAUCUACGGAGGAAAGCGGGGGAUCUUCGGACCUCGCGCUGCAGGGGCGGCCGAUGGCAGAUUAGCUAGUUGGUGGGGUAAAGGCCUACCAAGGCGACGAUCUGUAGCUGGUCUGAGAGGACGACCAGCCACACUGGGACUGAGACACGGCCCAGACUCCUACGGGAGGCAGCAGUGGGGAAUUUUGGACAAUGGGGGCAACCCUGAUCCAGCAAUGCCGCGUGUGUGAAGAAGGCCUUCGGGUUGUAAAGCACUUUUGUCCGGAAAGAAAACUUCGUCCCUAAUAUGGAUGGAGGAUGACGGUACCGGAAGAAUAAGCACCGGCUAACUACGUGCCAGCAGCCGCGGUAAUACGUAGGGUGCGAGCGUUAAUCGGAAUUACUGGGCGUAAAGCGUGCGCAGGCGGUCUGUUAAGACCGAUGUGAAAUCCCCGGGCUUAACCUGGGAACUGCAUUGGUGACUGGCAGGCUAGAGUGUGGCAGAGGGAGGUAGAAUUCCACGUGUAGCAGUGAAAUGCGUAGAGAUGUGGAGGAAUACCGAUGGCGAAG
rnacentral:rRNA from 1 species